rnacentral:rRNA from 1 species
UGCGUAGGUGGUGAGGUAAGUUCGAUGUGAAAUCUCCGGGCUCAACCCGGAAAAGGCAUUGAAUACUAUCUUGCUCGAGGUUUGGAGGGGGGACUGGAAUUCUCGGUGUAGCAGUGAAAUGCGUAGAUAUCGAGAGGAACACCGGUGGCGAAGGCGAGUCCCUGGACAACACCUGACACUGAGGCACGAAAGCUAGGGGAGCAAACA